UGGCGCUGCGACUGGCUGCCACGGUGUGUUGGUGCGCACUUCUGUGUUAGUUUUUAGAAUUUAAUUCUGUUAAUUGCGACCCAACUCGGCUUUCACGAUGGACGAGCUUCUUAACAUCAGGGACACAACACCACCUGAUUUAUGUCCCAACUUUCUCGCCUCCUCCGUGGAUUUAGUGGAUUUACUGAUUAAAGAUGGAUAUGAUCAUCUCAUCGUUUACCAAAAACUGCCAUGUGAUGGAGGAACCCUUCAGCUGACUGGCAUACAGGAAAACAAAAGACUUGAUGACCCCCUUGUGCCUUUCUAAAGGGACCACAAACCAAACAAAGCAUCCUAUCAGUGCUUACAGGCUGUUCAAUCAACUAAUCUCACAUUAACCCGGCUCUUUAUCAAACAAUUUUACCCUACAUCUAAUUAUAUACUGUCUUAGUAGUGUAGCUCAUGUUAGGAGAAUGUCAAAAACAAAUUGUAAGCAGUGUAUUAAUUAAAAAUAAUUGAAAAUC